GUCCUGGAUGGCACUUCACUUGAAGGUAAAAAUUAUUCUGAUAAUACAUGCAUGAAAUAGCACUGAUAAUUUUUUUUUUUCUGACCAUUUCAUGUCCUGAGCCAAGAGACCCUGGGCUUGGUUCAAAUACUCUGUUGAAGUUCAGCUGCCAGUAUUAUCAGCUUUCUGAGCAUAGAUAUGAUGGACAUGUGUAUAGAUUCUGUGGACAUCCUCGGGAAAAAACUCCAGCCAUGAUUGGACCAGCUGCUUUUUUAAUGACAAGCGCUGCCUCAGAACUUCUGGAGCCGAGUCUCCUUGCGCACUGCAGUGUCAACUGCCACAGCACUGAUGUACCUCUGGGUGAACAAGGACUGCAUAAAAUGAAAGGUUGCCUGUGACUGAAUAAAAGUGAGAAAAUGACCACUGCAGAAAUCAGGAGAACAGCAGAUUAUGAAAUAAAAUAUGGCUAAUUGUCUGGAGACAAUAAGCAAGUCAUUGCCUCAUGUCCAAAGGCUGAAUAUAGCAACUUUGCAAUGGAUCCUCUCAGUCUGAUGGAUUACCUUUCCAAUGGGGAAGAUGAAAGUACGUCUAUGUUUGGUAUAUAUAGUUGAUGAAAUUAUUGAACCAUCUAAUCAUUUUUUAUUUCUGAGAAAGAUUUAAAGAAUACAGGUUGUAUAGAAUAAAUAUUGAGCUACUGAAUGACUCAUUAAUAUAGAAUGCACAUUUUCAUUGGCCUAGAGGUGGAUUGUCAAAUGAUUUAUCAGCAAAAAUAUGUGACUCUUCAUUGCUGAAGAACUUUGCAUAUAUAUUAGAUUUAUUGAGUUAAGCAAUUGUAAUUAUCAAAUGGUUUACCUUUGUCUGACAAGUACCAACAUUCUACUCAUAACAUGCUUAUUAUUUUCUUUUAAAACUACUUCUAGUAAUUACUUCUAAUAUCUAAUUACUCCAUAACUGUAGUACACAUUCAUAAAAGUAAAAUGUAUAACAAAAAAAUUCUACCUUAAAAAUGUUAUGAAUUAUGAAGUAAUAGGAACAAAUAGAAGUGAAAUAUAUAUUUAAUUUGCUCACUGAAAUUGAGGGGAUGAAGGUCACAAGAUAUUUUCUUUCCCAAGUGAUAUUUCAGAUCACAGCUCCAAAGUGAUUGGAAGCUUCAGCCCUUAACUGUAAUAUUUUAAAGAAUAAGAUGAGUUUCAAACUGAAAAUAUCACAAAACAGUUUGCUAUAUACAUAUUCUGCCAGCCUCAUAUGUAGGUGAUGUCAAAUUAAAUGAAGUCGAAACUGACUUUAAAAUGUUCAAUAAAACCUUCAAGAAGAAAUUUGUGUAUCAAGUACUGUGCUCCAUAAGCUGGAGAUGUAACCAGAGAUACAAAUUCCUUGGUCCCAGUCUAUUCUAAACGGUACCUGAAAAUUCUCAUUUUUAAUAAUGUAUUCUAGGGCAUGAGAUACAGAAAUUUUCCCAUCUUCUAGGAAAUGACUUUUUAUAUUAUAUAGUCAUUCUGCUUGAACCUUCCACAGUAUGGUUUACCACAGAACCAUCCAACGGCAGAGAGAGCCAUUGUGGAAAGCACCUUAGUAGCAUACAUUGGAGAAAAGAAAUCUUUUUUUUUGGCUUCUUUUCAUUUUCCUGGCACCACACUUACACAUACUGAGCAGGCAUAAUACUCUCCACUUCUAGAAAUCUUUCACAGUGACAGAUCAGGAUAAGAAAAGCAACUUAGGGACUCUUUCAAGUCUUUGUUUUGUAAUUCAGUGUGUUGAAAUGUUUUCUUCAGAAGUAUUUGAUCCUAAAUGCUAAGGAGGUACAUGAUAUAAGGAAAAAUACAUUUGUCUCUGUGCAGGUAUAACUACCAGCAUGACAUCAAAAGAUAAAUUUACAAUGGGAAUGACCUUGAAGAUGAAAAAAUUGGGUUCUUUAACACAACUCUGAUAUACAUACUGUAUUUUUGUUUCUUUAUUACCUGUUUCUAUACAAUAAAAAAAUAAAAUAAAAUAAAAUAAAAUAAAAAAACAGAAACUGGAUGGUUGGGAGAAGGUUGUCUUAUGAACUUACUUAAUAAGAUUUUUCUUUGCACUGCAGUUACAAUUAUGAUAACUGUCACCUAAACUAAUAUUGUAGGAUUCACAGUCGUAUAUGGAAUUGUGUUUUUUGCUCUUUUAAUAUAAUUUAAUAUUGGUCAAGGUUAGACUACAAUUGGUCUAGACUGCAAUAACACUACCUUACUUGUCAGGCUAGUGACUAAAUUUUUCAUUACUGAAUAUAAAAAUUUAAUACUAUAGUGCAUACUCAUAAAAUCAAUAUUUUGAUGCUUUUGGGACAAUAGAUCUUAGCUAUUUACAUAAAUAUUUUAUGAUUUUUCUUGUAAUCCAUAAACUAAAAAGCUCACUGAAUGUCUAGGCCAAAGGCUAUCCAAUCUUCCACUGGAGUGUAAAUCUUUUUGUAUUCUUUUGACAAGCCCACUUACACAGAUUCAGAAUUUAGAUAGUCUCAUUUUCUUUCUGGAGGUGUAUAUAUUUUUCUUCCUUCCCUUUCCCUUUCCCUUCCCUUCCUCUCUUUCUCUCUUUCUUCGUCUUCUUCCUUCCUUCCCUCUUUUUUUUUUUCUGUUCUAUACUUUCUGUUGUUGUGUUUGUUUUUUGUCUGAUGAUGGUCCAGUUUUUGUGUAAUUUUUGUAGUCUGUUAGAAUGCCUCAAAACCUCAGCUCUUCAAGAUUAUAAAUGAUCUAAAUAAAUUAUCAUUUCUCAUGUUGUGAGUUAACUUGUCUUCAGACGAUGGAAAACAUAUCAUUAACUGCAACAAAU
ensembl:lncRNA